UAGCCCAGAGAAAUUUGGAUUAAUACCCCAUAAUAUAUUUGAUAAGGCAUCUUAUUAAUAUUAAAGCUUCGGCACUUGAUGAUGGGUGUGCGGCUGAUUAGAUAGUUGGCGGGGUAACGCCCACCAAGUCUACGAUCAGUAGCUGAUGUGAGAGCAUGAUCAGCCACACGGGCACUGAGACACGGGCCCGACUCCUACGGGAGGCAGCAGUAAGGAAUAUUGGACAAUGGACGAGAGUCUGAUCCAGCCAUGCCGCGUGAAGGAUUAAGGUCCUCUGGAUUGUAAACUUCUUUUAUAUGGGACGAAUAAAGGGCAUUCUUGUUCACUUGACGGUACCAUAUGAAUAAGCACCGGCUAACUCCGUG
rnacentral:rRNA from 1 species